AAUGGGCGAAAGCCUGAUGCAGCCAUACCGCGUGUGUGAAGAAGGCCUUCGGGUUGUAAAGCACUUUCGUCAGGGAAGAAAGGUACGGAGUUAAUACCUCCGUACUGUGACGGUACCUGAAUAAGAAGCACCGGCUAACUCCGUGCCAGCAGCCGCGGUAAUACGGAGGGUGCAAGCGUUAAUCGGAAUCACUGGGCGUAAAGCGCGCGUAGGCGGUCUGGUCAGUCAGAUGUGAAAGCCCCGGGCUCAACCUGGGAACUGCAUUUGAUACUGCCAGACUAGAGUGUAGUAGAGGGAAGCGGAAUUCCGAGUGUAGCGGUGAAAUGCGUAGAUAUUCGGAGGAACAUCUAUGGCGAAGGCGGCUUCCUGGACUAACACUGACGCUGAGGUGCGAAAGCGUGGGGAGCAAACUGGAUU
rnacentral:rRNA from 1 species